CAGAUCGAGGUUUGUUUGAUUUCAUAGGAAAAAAGGAAGAGGAAAAGCCAACUCAUGCCCAAGAAGAACAGGCUAUUUCCUCUGAGUUUGAUGAAAAAGUAAAAGUAUCUGAAGAAGUUGCAGAAUACAAGGAGGAAGAGAAGAAAGAAGAGAAGAAACUUCAUCGAUCAAGUAGCAGCUCUAGCAGCUCCGUAAGUAUUUUCGAUCAUGGGUAAAAUUUAUCGGUACUCAUUUAUUUACAUCAAAUCAAUAAAUAUAAAAUAAUUAUGUUUCAUAGAUGCAUGUUUUACUUAAUUGUACCUAUUCUUACUUUAUUUUAUGGUAAUUAUUAACAGAGUCACAUCCAGGAUUGAAAGUUUAUGAGUUCCUAUUAUAAUUUUAAAUUAAUAUACAAUAAUAACUGAAUUCACGCUUAUAUAUUUAUUGAUAUUUAAUGAAUUUUUUAAUAAAAAUACUGAAUCUAUGCAAAAAUUACUGGCUUCUCGGAUCCAGAAGCUAUACUCUACAUCCGCCUAGCCUUUGGACAUAGAUUGAGUUGAAACUUGAAAAAAUAUUUUUGAAGUAGUUUUGGAAAAUAAUUUUUGGAAGUUGAAAUUAGUUUGGACAUACAUUUUAUUUGAAAAACAUUUGAAGUUUUGUGAGUAGGAACUGAUUUUCAUCCAAAAUCUACCAUAAACUAGAUUUUGGAAACUUAAAAAAUAUUUUCAGAAAUUUUUCAAAAACAGAUCACUAAUUUGUGGACAAACAAUGUUUUAAAAAAAAAAUGAAAAAAACUUGCCAAAAUGUAUGGCCAAACGAGGGCUUAAAUUUUUUUACACGAUCAGGUCAUAUUUACCUUAUUGUAUCAAGUAACAUGUCUCGUUUUCAAAAUUUACUUCUAGAUAUUCUUCGAAUGACUUGACAGUAUGAAAAACUAAUUACAUCGAUGGUGUAUAUAUAUAUAUAUUUUGAUCAUGUUUACAUGAAUAGCCUCAUCAUAUAGAAAAGCAUCAGCGGCUGUUUUCACGACUCGAACUUUGUAACCUUGCUGUUUGUGUACAACAAAAACUCUUUUUAUAGUUGGAUGAAGCUUAUGUUAAUUGUGAUGAUCUUGCAGAGUGAUGAAGAGGAAGAAAUAGGAGAGGACGGACAGAAAAUCAAGAAGAAGAAAAAGAAGGGUUUGAAGGAUAAGAUCAAGGAGAAAAUAUCUGGAGAACACAAGGAAGAUGAGAAGGCAGAGGACACAGCUGUUCCAGUGGAGAAAUACGAAGAAGCAGAGGAGAAAAAAGGAUUCCUAGACAAGAUUAAGGAGAAGUUGCCAGUUGGCGGCCAAAAGAAGACGGAGGAAGUGGCGCCUCCACCACCGGCUGCGGCGGAACACGAGGCUGAGGGAAAAGAGAAGAAGGGAUUUUUGGACAAGAUUAAGGAGAAAUUACCACGAUACCACUCAAAGACUGAAGAAGAAAAGGAAAAAGAGAAAGAAACUGCAUCUCACUAGAUUAUUACAGCAUGAAAAUGAAUGUUUUUAUUUGUCGCUUUUUUGUUUUUUUGUUUUUGUGUAUGUCAUGAUUGUGUUACUGCUGUUUGGUUAAGCUUUCAUUUCCUUCACUUUUUUGGGGUUUGAAGGAUAAUAGUAUUGUAUUCAUAUAUGUAAGUGCAUAUAGCAUGUGCUUAUGUAUAAAGUUUGAUGUGGAUCUUUCGUUUGUAAAAUGCAGUUGGUUUUGCUUUUCACCUUAUCUUUUGUGUUUUCCUUAAUUACCUAUGUUAAAGCAUUAGGAUAAUUAAACAAGAUAAGCCAGCAAGGUGGCCUUGUGUUUUAUUAUCAGGAGAAAGUGUACCAAUAAUAAUAGGAAUUAUGGUACCACAAUGUUUGUCAACUUCGUAAAAUUUCACGAAUGGGAUAUGGGUGUGUACGCAAAUUUUACCUCAACCCG
rnacentral:lncRNA from 1 species